GGUGCUGUGGCGCAGUGGUUAGCGUGAUAGUCUAUCAAACUUUUGGCCCGGGUUCGCCGCCCCGAAGGGCUA
rnacentral:tRNA from 1 species